rnacentral:lncRNA from 1 species
UUUUUUUUUCUUUUUGUUAGCUCCUUUAUUUUCUUCUGUUUUUCUGUUUAAUUUUGUAUUUUCAACACUUUCUUAAUUUUUUUCUAUUUUCUUCAUUUUUUUUAAUAUUACCUUUAUUCACAUUAAUGGUUAUUUAAAUAUAUACAUUGUUUCACUGUAAAAAUUACUUUUGUUUAUAAUAAGUUAUACUUUCUCUGAACCUAAUAUAUGUUAUCUUAAUUGAAGUUUCAUUAAUUAAAAUGUUUACAUUGUAUGAAUGUAAAUUUUACUUUUCUAUACAACAAAUUAUACAUUUACUGAAUGUACGAUAUUUUGCUAAAUACUAAAUCC